GAUGAACGCUGGCGGCGUGCCUAAUACAUGCAAGUCGAGCGAACGGACGAGAAGCUUGCUUUUCUGAUGUUAGCGGCGGACGGGUGAGUAACACGUGGAUAACCUACCUAUAAGACUGGGAUAACUUCGGGAAACCGGAGCUAAUACCGGAUAAUAUUUUGAACCGCAUGGUUCAAAAGUGAAAGACGGUCUUGCUGUCACUUAUAGAUGGAUCCGCGCUGCAUUAGCUAGUUGGUAAGGUAACGGCUUACCAAGGCAACGAUGCAUAGCCGACCUGAGAGGGGGAUCGGCCACACUGGAACUGAGACACGGUCCAGACUCCUACGGGAGGAAGCAGUAGGGAAUCUUCCGCAAUGGGCGAAAGCCUGACGGAGCAACGCCGCGUGAGUGAUGAAGGUCUUCGGAUCGUAAAACUCUGUUAUUAGGGAAGAACAUAUGUGUAAGUAACUGUGCACAUCUUGACGGUACCUAAUCAGAAAGCCACGGCUAACUACGUG
rnacentral:rRNA from 1 species